GGGGCUGUAGCGCAGCUGGUCUAACGCGCCUCCCUGUCACGGAGGAAACCACGGGUUCGAAUCCCGUCAGCCUCG
rnacentral:tRNA from 1 species